AUGCCAUUUCUCUGGCAAAUUGUACUGAUUAAAGAUACACACUUUGUUUAUAACUUUGUUGAAUUUAUCAAUAACGUAUGCAAUAAUUUUUCACAAAAAAUUUUUUGUUGCAUUUUUCUCUUUUUAAAACUUCUUGUAAGUAGCAAAUUAGUUUGUUUGAUGUUAUUAUAUAAUAGUAACACUGUUAUGUUUGAUGUUAUAAUAGUAACACUGUUCUUUUCAGAAUCUAGGAUGAGUUUGGACUUUUCCGUGAAGGAAGUCAUCAGUGUAAUACAGAAAAAUCUCAUACAUGCAAUAUCAUACCAGAAAAAUGGCUGCAUUUGGAAAAUGAAUAGCUGGAGAAAAUUCUAAUGAAUAAGCCCAAGGCCUCCAGAAAUGAGGAUGAAAAUAACCAGCAUAAGGUAAUGGCUAAUCAGAAAUCUAGCCUAGACACAGGGUAUUACAGUUCAGAUUCUCUUCCUUCUCUGAAUUUCUUUGUAGUUAAGCUUUCAUGGGAAACUCUGGCUGGGGAGAGUCCAUGUGUGUAUGUGCCAGGAAGAUCCUUGUGUUCUAUCAGUUCAUCUGUGUCUGCAGCAGAGGCAACGGAAGGAAAUGACCAAAGGGAGAGCAAUACAGGCAAUUAGGGAUGAACCUAAUACAAUAUGCAUGGUGACUACAUUGAUUUGUUGUGUGUGUGUGUGUGUAUGUGUGAUUUAAAUUCCUGAUAUAGUUAUUAAAAAGGAAAUUGACUAAUAACAGCUUAUAGGUAUUCAAGAUCCUCACAAAUUACAAAGCUUACAUUUUUCCAGUGAAUACUCUCUACACGGCUCAGAGGUUAGAACAGGUGUUCUCAUUCCUAUUUACUGAUGAGCCUUGGACUAGUCAGGUGAUUUGUACAAAGUUAAAUGCCAGGGAGCUCUGAUUCCAAAUUCAGGGCCUAGAGAUUUUAGAGGAAGGCUAUGCUUUGCUUUACUUUUGUGGGCUGCUUUUAAGACUAUGUCACUUACCUGAAGGCUGUUUCAUGAAGAAUGGGCAGAUGUAAGAAAGGAAAUAAAAUAGCUAUUUUAUAACCAGGCAAUAGGAGUGGUUGAAUGGAUUUUUGGCUUGAAAUGAUAAUUGGAUCAAAGGAACAAUACCAUAUGUGUCUUCUAUUACCUUAAAAAAUCAUACCUAAUUAGUGAGAGUUUCUGCAAAGGAGAUGAAAGAAGAAAGAAAGAGAGAAAGGAAGGAAGGAAGGAAAGAAAGAAAGAAAAAGAAAGAAGGAAGGAAAGAAAGAAAAAGCAAGCAAGCAAGCAAGCAAGCAAGCAAGAAAGAAAAAACAUAUCAUGUUUCGGCACCGCAGCACUGUACUAAAGCAUUAUCUUCUUUAAUCCUCAAAACAAAACUAUUAGAUGAAUAUGAUAACUUCCCUCUUAUUAAUGAAGAAAUUGAAACUUCAAGUAGUUAAACUCAUCGCAGAUUGAGACUUCAGCCAGAUAUUGUCUGCCUACAAAGGCUAUGUUUUAGUUGUUUUAAUGUCGAAUAUAUAUUGUCCCCUGGUAGGAAGCAGAGAGGCAAACAGUGAACAUCUUAACAGAUCAAGAAGCUGAGAAUGUUCAAGGGGCACAUUACUACUUCAUAGUGGGGAACAAAAAACAGUCCUCAUUCCAGAAUGGCCUUCAGAUAAGAGAAAUGAAGGUUCAUUCUAAGACCCCCAGCCUUUGUCCCUGCCUGCAUUGAUAGAGAGGGGUCUUUUCAAUGGCCAACUUGCAAACAAUGGGAUAUUUCAGGUAUUAGUCAAAAAGCCUGGGAUUCAGUGGGGUUUCCUGUGUUGGCAUGGCUGGCUCAGAGUCUGGAUCUGGAAAAGGAGUUUUAAUCCGUUUCUACAGGGGAGAGAUACAAUUGGUGUAUCCAUGCUUCUUGAGGCUACAUCUCUCCUCAGAAGAUCUGACUCAUACAACUAACUGCCUCCAUGAACUCUUCACACACAUGUAUCAAAGGAAUCUCAACAAUGUUAUGUCCAAAAUCAAUUCCAUGACCUUCUCAAAACACCUGAUUCUCUUCCCGUGUUCCCCUUCUCAAUGAAUGGAAGUACAUCGUCCCAUACUCACAAGCCAGAGAUGCAGAAUUCAUAACUGG
ensembl:lncRNA